AGUUUGAUCCUGCUCAGAUUGAACGCUGGCGGGAUGCUUUACACACAUGCAAGUCGAACGGCAGCACGGACUUCGGUCUGGUGGCGAGUGGCGAACGGGUGAGUAAUGUAUCGGAACGUACCAGUAGCGGGGAUAACUACGCGAAAGCGUAGCUGCCAUACCGCAUACGCCCUUCGGGGGAAAGCGGGGGACCUCGGGCCUCGCACUAUUAGGAGCGUGGCCGAUAUCGGAUUAGCUAGUUGGUGGGGUAACGCUCACCAAGGCGACGAUUCAGUUGGUUUGAGAGGACGACCAGCCACACUGGGACUGAGACACGGGCUCCAGACUCCUACGGGAGGCAGCAGUGGGGGAAUUUCGAUUAAUGGGGGAAACUCCCUGAUCCAGCCAUCCCGGCGUGUGCGAUGAAGGCCUUCGGGUUGUAAAGCACUUUUGGCAGGAAAGAAACGGCACGGGAUAAUACCCCGCGCAACUGACGGUACCUGCAGAAUAAGCACCGGCCAACUACGUACAGCAGCCGCGUAAUACGUAGGUGUAAGCGUUAAUCGGAAUUACUGGGCGUAAAGCGUGCGCAGGCGGUUCGGAAAGAAGAUGUGAAAUCCCCAGAGAGCUUAACUUUGGAACUGCAUUUUUAACUACCGAGCUAGAGUGUGUCAGAGGGAGGUGGAAUUCCGCGUGUAGCAGUGAAAUGCGUAGAUAUGCGGAGGAACACCGAUGGCGAAGGCAGCCUCCUGGGGAUAACACUGACGCUCAUGCACGAAAGCGUGGGGAGCAAACAGGAUUAGAUACCCUGGUAGUCCACGCCCUAAACGAUGUCAACUAGCUGCUGUUGGGGCCUUCGGCCUUGGUAGCGCAGCUAACGCGUGAAGUUGACCGCCUGGGGAGUACGGUCGCAAGAUUAAAACCCAAAGGAAUUGACGGGGACCCGCACAAGCGGUGAUGAUGUGAUUAAUUCGAUGCAACGCGAAAAAACUCCUUACUCUACCCUUUUAUUCAAAUCCCGAAGAGAUUUGGGAGUGCCCCUGCAAGAGAACCGGAACACAGGUGCUGCAUGGCUGGGUUUCACGCCUCGCAUCGUGAGAUGUUGGGUUAAGUCCCGCAACGAGCGCAACCCUUGUCAUUAGUUGCUACGAAAGGGCACUCUAAUGAGAUCGCUGCAGACAAACCGGAGGAUGUGGAUGACGUCGUCCCAAGGCUCCCAGGUAGCUUCACACGUCAUACAAUGGUCGGGACAGAGGGUCGCCAACCCGCGAGGGGGAGCCAAUCCCAGAAACCCGAUCGUAGUCCGGAUCGCAGUCUGCAACUCGACUGCGUGGGCCGAACUGCUAGUAAUCGCGGAUCAGCAUGUCGCGGUGAAUACGUUCCCGGGUCUUGUACACACCGCCCGUCACACCAUGGGAGUGGGUUUUACCAGAAGUAGUUAGCCUAACCGUAAGGAGGGCGAUUACCACGGUAGGAUUCGUUAUGACUGGGGUGGGUCGAAUAGCGC
rnacentral:rRNA from 1 species